rnacentral:tRNA from 1 species
AGGCAAAGCACCGGCGGAGAGAGAGCCUGCUCAAACAGGAAAACGUAAGCCCACCAUCCGUCGCAUGGGUACGUUUGAGCACUUCU